rnacentral:rRNA from 1 species
GAUGAACGCUGGCGGUAUGCCUUACACAUGCAAGUCGAACGAAAAUUAGCUUCGGUUAAUUUUAGUGGCGGACGGGUGAGUAACACGUGAGAAUUUGCCUUUAGGAGGGGGAUAACGAGUGGAAACAUUCGCUAAAACCCCAUAUGCCCACGGGUGAAAAAGAGGAAACUCUGCCUGAAGAGAAGCUCGCGGCUGAUUAGCUAGUUGGUAGGGUAAUGGCCUACCAAGGCGACGAUCAGUAGCUGGUCUGAGAGGACGAUCAGCCACACUGGAACUGAGACACGGUCCAGACUCCUACGGGAGGCAGCAGUGAGGAAUUUUCUGCAAUGGGCGAAAACCUGACAGAGCAAUACCGCGUGAGGGAUGAAGACUUACUGAGUUGUAAACCUCGGUGCCUUAAGGAAGAAGAUCUGACGGUACUUAAGGUGGAAAGCAUCGGCUAACUCCGUGCCAGCAGCCGCCGUAAUAC